GAUGAAGAACGCAGUGAAAUGCGAUAAGUAAUGUGAAUUGCAGAAUUCAGUGAAUCAUCGAAUCUUUGAACGCAUCUUGCGCUCCUUGGUAUUCCUUGGAGCAUGCCUGUUUGAGUAUCAUGAGCAAAUCUCAAAGUCAAUUCCUUUUGUUGAUUCAAUUGGUUUUGCUUUGGACUUGGAGGCCUUACAGAUUUCACAGUCUGCUCCUCUUAAAUGCAUUAGCUGGAUCUCAGUAAUUAUGCUUGGUUCCACUCGGCGUGAUAAGUAUCACUCGCUGAGGACACUGUUAAAAAGGUGGCCAGGAAAAUACUGAUUGAACCGCUUCUAACGGUCUAUUAAGUUAGACAAUUACCCUUAAGUUUGAUCUCAAAUCAGGUAGGACUACCCGCUGAACUUAAGCAUAUCAAUAAGCGGAGGA
rnacentral:misc_RNA from 1 species